GUAGUUGUGGCCGAGAGGUUAAGGUGAUGGAUUUGAAAUCCAUUGGGUUCUCCCCGUGCAGGUUCGAACACUGCAGACUACG